rnacentral:rRNA from 1 species
UACAGAGGUCCCAAGCGUUGUUCGGAUUCAUUGGGCGUAAAGGGUGCGUAGGCGGCGGGUAAGUCUGAUGUGAAAUACUGAGGCUCAACCUUGGAACUGCAUUGGAUACUGCCUUGCUAGAGUACUGGAGAGGAGACUGGAAUUUACGGUGUAGCAGUGAAAUGCGUAGAUAUCGUAAGGAAGACCAGUGGCGAAGGCGAGUUCCUGGACAGUUGCUGACACUGAGGCACGAAGGCUAGGGAGCAAACGGG